rnacentral:rRNA from 1 species
GACGAACGCUGGCGGCGUGCCUAAUACAUGCAAGUUGAGCGCUGAAGGUUGGUACUUGUACCAACUGGAUGAGCAGCGAACGGGUGAGUAACGCGUGGGGAAUCUGCCUUUGAGCGGGGGACAACAUUUGGAAACGAAUGCUAAUACCGCAUAAAAACUUUAAACACAAGUUUUAAGUUUGAAAGAUGCAAUUGCAUCACUCAAAGAUGAUCCCGCGUUGUAUUAGCUAGUUGGUGAGGUAAAGGCUCACCAAGGCGAUGAUACAUAGCCGACCUGAGAGGGUGAUCGGCCACAUUGGGACUGAGACACGGCCCAAACUCCUACGGGAGGCAGCAGUAGGGAAUCUUCGGCAAGGGACGAAAGUCUGACCGAGCAACGCCGCGGGAGUGAAGAAGGUUUUCGGAUCGUAAAGCUCUGUUGGUAGAGAAGAACGUUUGUGAGAGUGGAAAGCUCAUCAAGUGACGGUAACUACCCAGAAAGGGACGGCUAACUACGUG